UAUGACAGAAAUCAAUAUGUGAUGAACUUAAAAUUCAUUUAUAAAGAUUAAUCUUUUUUUAGAA
rnacentral:tRNA from 1 species